UACGGAGGGUGCAAGCGUUAUCCGGAUUCACUGGGUUUAAAGGGUGCGUAGGAGGGCAGGGAAGUCCGUGGUGAAAUCUCCGAGCUUUACUCGGAAACUGCCGUGGAUACUCUCUGUCUUGAAUCCCGUGGAGAUGAGCGGAAUAUGUCAUGUAGCGGUGAAAUGCUUAGAUAUGACAUAGAACACCAAUUGCGAAGGCAGCUCGUUACACGAAGAUUGACUCUGAGGCACGAAAGCGUGGGGAUCAAACAGG
rnacentral:rRNA from 1 species